UGGCUUUCACUCUAUUGCCUAUUUAUUAUCUUGUAAAUUGCCAAUCAAACUUUAUGUUUGUGGCCUAAGAAUAAGAAGCUGGACUAAUUCCAAAUUUGCAAUAAUAGUGAAUCUUUUUAGGGUUUUUGGAAUAUUUGCAACUGCUCUAAAAAUCCUCACUAGUAUUCUUCUAGCUGUUCUUGUAAUCACAAAACUUUAUGGAUUUCUUCUUAUCAUUUCGUUGACCUCUGCUGAAACUUCAUCAUCUCUGUCUUUGCACACACAAAACUCUGAAUCUUUCCAACCUUUGUGUAUUUUAUUUUUUAUUUUUUUAUUUUUUUUGGUUGUCAAUUUUUUCACAAGAUUUGAAAUAAACCUUUGAGGUGUGAAUCCCAUUUGGAGCUUGUGGAUAUAAUUAUUUUUUGAAAAAGAUCGAAUCUUUUAGUGUUUCUCUAUUGUGGGUUCUCAUUGUCUGUUUCAAAGUCUUGCAUUUUUUCAGCUUCAGGGAUAUAUAUUAAUCAGUAGUUUUCUCCUUUAAAAGAGCACAAGAGAAGCAUUUCUGAGAAGCAUUGACAAUUUCUGUUGGUCAUGAGUUCCCUUAAUUCCCUUUCUCUCUUUUAGUUUUUGCCAUCUCUUAGUGUUAGUUCUUCUUAGUGUUAAUUUGUUUUGUUCCAUCUAUAGCUUGACCAUAAUAUUGACUUUCUUACUUUUUAUUUAUUUUUUUAUUUGUUCUUGAUUAUGUCAAGUGACUUUUUCAAAGCGUAAAAAUGGGCUUCUAAAGAAAGCUCAUGAGUUAUCUGUUCUUUGUGAAGCACAAGUUGCUGCGAUAAUCUUCUCACAGAAAGGCAGACUCUAUGAAUUCUCAAGUUCAGAGUGCGCUUGGUUUGGAUUGCUCCAAUCUUGGAAUAUCAAUGACGAAUUCAUCUACCGCUGCACCACCGACAUCAGAUGAGAAUGCUAGCUUGAUUCUACGAGGAAGCUCCCUUUGGCUGCUUAUACAGAUUAUAUUCGUUGCCAGUAUACAGUUGCAAGAGGACAUUGGUGCAUGGUUUUAGCAGUAUCUCAUUAUAUGGUGUGCUUUUUGAGAUUUUUGCGAAUUAUACAUUCCUAUAUUAUUUCAAAGGCCCAGGUGUAGUGCUUGCUAUGUAUAAUGUUUAUAUAAUUUCAAAGAGUAAAUUAUUUGUUGCUUUGCUGGUGUAUAACAUUAUAUUUGGGUAAGUACUUCAACUGUUUGACUCCAACAAUAUCCUCUAUAAAUAACUGCAGUCAAGUACUGGGGAACAUCAACUUUCACUAAUUUCCCAGUAUGUCUAUAGUACAUAAAAUGCAAAAAUUUAAUUCGGCAAAGGUAACUUAUUAACUGAUAUCCUGCCUCAUACACGUUUGAUAUUUUUGCAGGUAUCUGAUUAUGAGAAAGAAAUUGAGAUAAUGAAAACUGUAACAAAAGAAGAAUAUCUUGCUUCAUUAAGAAGGCGAAGCAGUGGUUUUUCUAGAGGUGUAUCAAAGUAUAGAGGAGUGGCAAGGCACCAUCACAUGAUAAUGCAGCAAUUGAAUACAAAGGCAUAAAUGCAGUGACAAACUUUGACUUGAGCACUUACAUCAGAUGGCUAAGACCAGAUUUGGAAUCUCAACAACCUUUUGAUAUGCUGUAACCACCCAACAAAAAUCAUCCUGUUUUUUGAUCAACAAAUAAGGAAUAUGCUGCACAACCUUUCACCCAAAAGCACGAGCCCUUCAAGUAUGCAAGUGAAUUAUGUUUGGCAAAAUUAGAAAGGUGCUAUGCUGGAUUCUCUCCACGACUUAUCUCAUCAUAUUUAAAGAAGCAGUUGUGUUAUCUGUAUUUAAAUUGCCGUGACCUGGACAAGUCUUCCAAGUCAGUCUAGGUCUUGGACAAUAGUUGAUAAUGAUGUUUCUCUCUAAUGAAAUGCUCGCUGCACCUUACUUUAUUGCUUAGGGCUUAAUUAUGACUACAUUGGGCUCCACCUCAUGUUUAGCAUUGACACUAUACCAGAAUUUCUCUGCUUUUGCAAUGUAUCACAGAACCUACAUUUUGAUUAAUGACAUG